GUAGGGAAUAUUGGGCAAUGGAGGCAACUCUGACCCAGCCAUGCCGCGUGCAGGAAGACGGUCCUCUGGAUUGUAAACUGCUUUUGAAUGGGAAGAAAAAGGCCAUGCGUGGCAAAUUGCCGGUACCAGAUGAAUAAGCACCGGCUAACUCCGUGCCAGCAGCCGCGGUAAUACGGAGGGUGCGAGCGUUGUCCGGAUUUAUUGGGUUUAAAGGGUGCGUAGGCGGCUGAUUAAGUCAGCGGUGAAAGACUUCGGCUUAACCGGAGCAGUGCCGUUGAUACUGGUUGGCUUGAGUGUCGGAGGGGUACAUGGAAUUGAUGGUGUAGCGGUGAAAUGCAUAGAUACCAUCAGGAACACCGAUAGCGAAGGCAUUGUACUGGCCGACAACUGACGCUGAUGCACGAAAGUGUGGGGAUCGAACAGGAUUAGAUACCCGAGUAGUCC
rnacentral:rRNA from 1 species